CGCAUCCCAUGGUAUCCUCCGGGCGAGCUCCCACGGCGCGGGUCGGCACGGCGGCGUCCGGGGGCUGAUCCGACUCCGAGGUACAGAGCCCGAGGGCCUGCUGCAGUCACCAUGCUACAGCUCACCUAUUGACAUCUGGGCCGUGGGACGCAUCAUGGAUCUACACUCAGGCCCCUGUUGCCUGGCAAAAGUGAGGUGGACCAGAUCUGAAAGAUCUGAAAGUGGUUGGGAACACUGAAGAAUGUGAGCCACCACAACAAGGCGUAUCGUGUUGUGGUUCUACUGUCAUUGUGGAAUGUAACCAGCCAGUAUCUUUUAAAUCAUUCUGACGUCCUCUCUGCUCGGGCCGUUACCAUUAUGUGGCGCUAACAUGAACAAAUUUAUCAAAUUUUCUUUUUGUCGUUGUGUUUUAGUGACUCGUUGCUUUCUCUUUGUGUUUCACCACAUCAGUCUGACGGGCCCAGGGGCAACAACCUGGCCACAUCGAUGAACUUCCCAGAGCGCCUCCCCGCCAGCCUCAGAUCUCUGAUCCCCAACGUCAGCAACGAGGCAAUCGCACUGAUGGAAACAAUGUGAAAGUGCUGCUCGGGCUCUACAGUAUCCAUACUUCACUGUAUCCAUACUUCACUGUCGGCUAGGCGGAGGUGGAAACAAAGGGUCGGUCCCUCCGUGAGACGGACCUAGAAUCCAUGAAGCCAAACACAAAACCAGCAAUGUGUCCCGGCAUGCUGACCGAGGGGCAGCAGGAACCUCUCGGCUGUGGCUAGAACUCAGGUAGAGCUACCACAUUCCACAAUGAGACCUUUUUGGGACUUCAUGAUUUUCUUCUUUGUAUGUGCAAGACCAAGAGGACAGGACUUAGUCGAUGGGGACAGACGUCUUUCAGGUCUGUCGAUGGUGAGAACGCUAACGCUGGAGUCUACGUUUCCAAUAAAAACACCAUCAGCUCUGUGGAAGGAAAUUUAAAAAGUGGCCUAAACCCAGUGAAAGAAGAUAAAAGACCAACAGACAAGAAUCAUAAUCAGAUCUGGACAAACUGUUUGGGUAUGAGUCGUUUUGUCAGACAUACACCCAGAAGGCAUCUGUUCCUUAGGAGGCAGAGACAUCCACAGAAGUCCUGGGCUUUCCUCUAAGUGAUGGGAGAAAGAUUUGAGUACACACUUGAUCACUUUAAUGUGUCGUGCUGAAACAACAAGAAUCAGCACACGGAGCACAAGACAUGCAGCUUGCCUUUGCUUUCCAAGACACACAAGACCCCUUCUCGCUCAUGAUCAUUUCCCAGAAUACAAAGGGUGGGGGGGGGGGGCAGCAGACCUCUGAAUCCCAGCGCUACAGGGAAAACACUUUUCCAAGGAGCCCAAUCAUCGACCCUGUAACCGGACGAGUAGACUUAACUGCCAAAUACGAAGGUCACAAGUAGCACAGCAGUGACUCAUGGGAAAAGUUCCAACUGUGAAGUGCUUCCUGCUAGUCUGUUGUUACAUUUGCCAAGCUAUGAAAUAUUGUUCAGUGAUUUAAAAUGUCCCAUAACUUCUAGUCAGUAUUUUUGGGUGAAUUUAUUGUUUAACAGCAGCUGAUACAUUUACACAGAAAACAACUUUUUGGGGGACUAUUUCUUCAUAUAAAAAAAUACAGAACCAGACUAAAGCAGAAAGCCACAUCAAGUCAAACCUCUUCCAUAAUACCAUGAGCGUUUGCAGGACAACUACCUUUAGAUGUUGUCGCCGCAGCUGCAGGUUCCUCAGCGGUCUGCU